CGCAUGGUUUCUCCAUUAAAGGAUUCCGGUUACCGAUGGGGAUGCGUUCCAUUAGGCAGUUGGCGGGGUAACGGCCCACCAAACCUACGAUGGAUAGGGGUUCUGAGAGGAAGGUCCCCCACAUUGGAACUGAGACACGGUCCAAACUCCUACGGGAGGCAGCAGUGAGGAAUAUUGGUCAAUGGGCGGAAGCCUGAACCAGCCAAGUAGCGUGAAGGAUGACUGCCCUAUGGGUUGUAAACUUCUUUUAUAAGGGAAUAAAUGUGGGUACGCGUACCCGUUUGCAUGUACCUUAUGAAUAAGGAUCGGCUAACUCCGUGCCAGCAGCCGCGGUAAUACGGAGGAUCCGAGCGUUAUCCGGAUUUAUUGGGUUUAAAGGGAGCGUAGGCGGGCGCUUAAGUCAGCUGUGAAAGUUUGGGGCUCAACCUUAAAAUUGCAGUUGAUACUGGGUGCCUUGAGUGCAGUAUAGGCAGGCGGAAUUCGUGGUGUAGCGGUGAAAUGCUUAGAUAUCACGAAGAACUCCUAUUGCGAAGGCAGCUUGCUGGAGUGUAACUGACGCUGAUGCUCGAAAGUGUGGGUAUCAAACAGGAUUAGAUACCCUGGUAGUCCACACAGUAAACGAUGAAUACUCGCUGUUUGCGAUAUACUGCAAGCGGCCAAGCGAAAGCGUUAAGUAUUCCACCUGGGGAGUACGCCGGCAACGGUGAAACUCAAAGGAAUUGACGGGGGCCCGCACAAGCGGAGGAACAUGUGGUUUAAUUCGAUGAUACGCGAGGAACCUUACCCGGGCUUGAAUUGCAACCGAAUUAUCCGGAGACGGGUAAGCCGCAAGGCGGUUGUGAAGGUGCUGCAUGGUUGUCGUCAGCUCGUGCCGUGAGGUGUCGGCUUAAGUGCCAUAACGAGCGCAACCCUUAUCCACAGUUACCAUCAGGUGAUGCUGGGGACUCUGUGGAGACUGCCGUCGUAAGAUGCGAGGAAGGGGGGGAUGACGUCAAAUCAGCACGGCCCUUACGUCCGGGGCUACACACGUGUUACAAUGGGGGGUACAGCAGGCAGCUCGGCGGCGACGCCCGGCCAAUCCCUAAAUCCCCUCUCAGUUCGGACUGGAGUCUGCAACCCGACUCCACGAAGCUGGAUUCGCUAGUAAUCGCGCAUCAGCCACGGCGCGGUGAAUACGUUCCCGGGCCUUGUACACACCGCCC
rnacentral:rRNA from 1 species